UGGGGAAUCUUGCGCAAUGGGCGAAAGCCUGACGCAGCCAUGCCGCGUGAAUGAUGAAGGUCUUAGGAUUGUAAAAUUCUUUCAGUAGGGACGAUAAUGACGGUACCUACAGAAGAAGCCCCGGCUAACUUCGUGCCAGCAGCCGCGGUAAUACGAAGGGGGCUAGCGUUGCUCGGAAUUACUGGGCGUAAAGGGAGCGUAGGCGGACAUUUAAGUCAGGGGUGAAAUCCCAGAGCUCAACUCUGGAACUGCCUUUGAUACUGGGUGUCUUGAGUGUGAUAGAGGUAUGUGGAACUCCGAGUGUAGAGGUGAAAUUCGUAGAUAUUCGGAAGAACACCAGUGGCGAAGGCGACAUACUGGAUCAUUACUGACGCUGAGGCUCGAAAGCGUGGGGAGCAAACAGGAUUAGAUACCCUGGUAGUCCACGCCGUAAACGAUGAUUGCUAGUUGUCGGGUUGUUUACAACUCGGUGACGCAGCUAACGCAUUAAGCAAUCCGCCUGGGGAGUAACGGUCGCAACAUA
rnacentral:rRNA from 1 species